rnacentral:rRNA from 1 species
AGGACGAACGCUGGCGGCGCGCUUAACACAUGCAAGUCGAGCGAGAACCAGGACUUCGGUCCUGGGGACAGCGGCGAACGGGUGAGUAACACGUGGGUAAUCUGCCCUCGAUUCUGGGAUAGCCCGGGGAAACCCGGAUUAAUACCGGAUAGCCUUCUGAGCCCUCGGGCGAGGAAGAAAAGGUAGCUUCGGCCUCCGAUCGAGGAUGAGCCCGCGGUGGAUUAGCUAGUUGGUGAGGUAAAGGCUCACCAAGGCGACGAUCGGUAGCUGGUCUGAGAGGAUGAUCAGCCACACUGGAACUGAGACACGGUCCAGACUCCUACGGGAGGCAGCAGUGGGGAAUAUUGGACAAUGGGGGAAACCCUGAUCCAGCAAUGCCGCGUGGGUGAUGAAGGCCUUCGGGUUGUAAAGCCCUUUCGGCGGGGACGAUGAUGACGGUACCCGCAGAAGAAGCCCCGGCUAACUUCGUGCCAGCAGCCGC